rnacentral:snoRNA from 2 species
CCAUGGUUGUGACUACAAACAUGCUAGUUCUGCUUCUGAAAAUUCAUGACUGAAAAAACUGUUGUGUAAAAUCUGAGCCUUUG